rnacentral:rRNA from 1 species
GACGAACGCUGGCGGCGUGCUUAACACAUGCAAGUCGAACGGAAAGGCCCUGCUUUUGUGUGGUGCUCGAGUGGCGAACGGGUGAGUAACACGUGAGUAACCUGCCCUUGACUUUGGGAUAACUUCAGGAAACUGGGGCUAAUACCGGAUAGGAGCUCCUGCUGCAUGGUGGGGGUUGGAAAGUUUCGGCGGUUGGGGAUGGACUCGCGGCUUAUCAGCUUGUUGGUGGGGUAGUGGCUUACCAAGGCUUUGACGGGUAGCCGGCCUGAGAGGGUGACCGGCCACAUUGGGACGGAGAUACGGCCCAGACUCCUACGGGAGGCAGCAGUGGGGAAUAGAGCACAAUGGGCGGAAGCCUGAUGCAGCAACGCCGCGUGCGGGAUGACGGCCUUCGGGUUGUAAACCGCUUUCGCCUGUGACGAAGCGUGAGUGACGGUAAUGGGUAAAGAAGCACCGGCUAACUACGUG